rnacentral:rRNA from 1 species
CAGCAGCCACGGGAAUACGGAGGGUGCAAGCGUUAAUCGGAAUUACUGGGCGUAAAGCGCACGCAGGCGGUUUGUUAAGUCUGUUGUGAAAUCCCCGGGCUCAACCUGGGAAUGGCAAUGGAUACUGGCAAGCUAGAGUGUGUCAGAGGAUGGUGGAAUUCCCGGUGUAGCGGUGAAAUGCGUAGAGAUCGGGAGGAACAUCAGUGGCGAAGGCGGCCAUCUGGGACAACACUGACGCUGAGGCACGAAAGCGUGGGGAGCAAACAGGAUUAGAUACCCCCGUAGUCCCUGUCUCUUAUAC